AUGUAUCCACAGCUCCUGUUACCUGGUUGGCAUGAGGAGAAGCUAAAUCCUCUGAGUGAGCUCCUGAGUCACCUAUGUGUCGACCUUAGCUUUCUGACUGUAAUGGUUUCUUGUGCCCCUUGCCUGUGGUCAGGAGGGGAAAAAACCUCCAGGGACUUGAGGCUGGAGGUGUGGAGCAACCAAUUUGAGGCCUUGAAGGAAUGUUCCCCAGUAAAGAUAAGGAAGCAGAAGAACAUUCUAUCUAAGAGGCUGGGCAUCUUCCACUGGCUUCAGAGGCUGAAUCUGGGACCAAUAAAUGGAAACUUCAGUAAAGAAGUGAAGUGAAAGCGUUAGUCACUCAGUCAUGGCUGACUCUUCACAACCCUGUGGACUGCAGCCCACCAGGCUCCUCUGCCCAUGGAAUUCUCCAGGCAAGAAUACUGGAGUGGGUUGCCAUGCCCUCCUCCAGGGGAUCUUCCCAACCCAGGGAUGGAACCCAGGUCCCCUGCACUGCCGGCAGAUUCUUGACCGUAUGAGCCACCAGGAAAGCCCUUUAUUGUCUGAGGAGGUUUUAAAGCAUGGCUGCAUAUUCUUUGACAUCCUCUCUUUUCUACUUCCUCAUCCCUUCAGAUCCUUCUCCUGCGCUGCCCCGCCCCUCCCUCCAAUACUGCUGUUUCC
rnacentral:lncRNA from 1 species